rnacentral:rRNA from 1 species
CCUACGGGGGGCAGCAGUGGGGAAUAUUGGACAAUGGGGGCAACCCUGAUCCAGCCAUGCCGCGUGUGUGAAGAAGGCCCUCGGGUUGUAAAGCACUUUCAGUGAGGAAGAACGCCUGGUGGUUAAUACCCAUCAGGAAAGACAUCACUCACAGAAGAAGCACCGGCUAACUCCGUGCCAGCAGCCGCGGUAAUACGGAGGGUGCGAGCGUUAAUCGGAAUUACUGGGCGUAAAGCGCGCGUAGGUGGCUUGAUAAGCUGGUUGUGAAAGCCCCGGGCUCAACCUGGGAACGGCAUCCGGAACUGUCAAGCUAGAGUGCAGGAGAGGAAGGUAGAAUUCCCGGUGUAGCGGUGAAAUGCGUAGAGAUCGGGAGGAAUACCAGUGGCGAAGGCGGCCUUCUGGACUGACACUGACACUGAGGUGCGAAAGCGUGGGUAGCAAACAGGAUUAGAUACCCUAGUAGUC